CAGGCGCUGCCUACCAUGCAAGUCGAACGAGGGCUUCGGCCUUAGUGGCGCACGGGUGAGUAACACGUGGGAACCUGCCUUUCGGUUCGGGAUAACGUCUGGAAACGGACGCUAACACCGGAUACGCCCUAUGGGGGAAAGUUUACGCCGAGAGAGGGGCCCGCGUCCGAUUAGGUAGUUGGUGGGGUAAUGGCCCACCAAGCCGACGAUCGGUAGCUGGUCUGAGAGGAUGAUCAGCCACACUGGGACUGAGACACGGCCCAGACUCCUACGGGAGGCAGCAGUGGGGAAUAUUGGACAAUGGGGGCAACCCUGAUCCAGCAAUGCCGCGUGAGUGAUGAAGGCCUUAGGGUUGUAAAGCUCUUUCGCACGCGACGAUGAUGACGGUAGCGUGAGAAGAAGCCCCGGCUAACUUCGUGCCAGCAGCCGCGGUAAUACGAAGGGGGCGAGCGUUGUUCGGAAUUACUGGGCGUAAAGGGCGCGUAGGCGGCCUGUUUAGUCAGAAGUGAAAGCCCCGGGCUUAACCUGGGAACGGCUUUUGAUACUGGCAGGCUUGAGUGCAGGAGAGGAAAGUGGAAUUCCCAGUGUAGCGGUGAAAUGCGUAGAUAUUGGGAGGAACACCAGUGGCGAAGGCGACUUUCUGGACUGUGUCUGACGCUGAGGCGCGAAAGCCAGGGGAGUGAACGGGAUUAGAUACCCCGGUAAUCCUGGCCGUAAACGAUGGGUACUAGGUGUAGGAGGUAUCGACCCCUUCUGUGCCGGAGUUAACGCAAUAAGUACCCCGCCCUGGGGAGUACGGCCGCAAGGUUGAAACUCAAAG
rnacentral:rRNA from 1 species